GCCGGGGUAGCUCAACGGUAGAGCAACCGCUUCGUAAGCGGUAGGUUGAGGGUUCGAAUCCCUUCUCCGGCU
rnacentral:tRNA from 1 species